rnacentral:miRNA from 1 species
GCCUUCCAGGAGAAAUGGAGAC